GACGAACGCUGGCGGCGUGCCUAAUACAUGCAAGUCGAACGAACCGCGACUGAGUGCUUGCACUUGGUCAAGGUGAGUGGCGAACGGGUGAGUAACACGUGGGUAACCUACCUCAUAGUGGGGGAUAACAGUCGGAAACGACUGCUAAUACCGCAUAGGACAUAGGAUCACAUGAUCCAGUGAGGAAAGGUGGCGCAAGCUAUCGCUAAGAGAUGGACCCGCGGUGCAUUAGCUAGUUGGUAGGGUAAAGGCCUACCAAGGCGAUGAUGCAUAGCCGACCUGAGAGGGUGAUCGGCCACAUUGGGACUGAGACACGGCCCAAACUCCUACGGGAGGCAGCAGUAGGGAAUCUUCCGCAGUGGACGCAAGUCUGACGGAGCAACGCCGCGUGAGUGAAGAAGGUCUUCGGAUCGUAAGGCUCUGUUGUUAGAGAAGAACAGCGCAUAGAGUAACUGCUAUGCGUGUGACGGUAUCUAACCAGAAAGCCACGGCUAACUACGUG
rnacentral:rRNA from 1 species